rnacentral:rRNA from 1 species
GACGAACGCUGGCGGCGUGCUUAACACAUGCAAGUCGAGCGAGGCCUUUCCUUCGGGAGAGUGUCCUAGCGGCGAACGGGUGAGUAACACGUGGGCAACCUGCCCUCAGCUCUGGGAUAACUCCAAGAAAUUGGGGCUAAUACCGGAUAUGACCGCUGACCGCAUGGUCUGGUGGUAGGAAAGUAUUUAUCGGCGUGGGGAUGGGCCCGCGGCCUAUCAGCUUGUUGG